UCCCUUGUAGAUCAGUGGUAGAUCUCUUCGUCACAGUCCGGUAAUUCGUAACAACAUUUGUCGACGCAAUGUGGGUUUGACUCCCACCGAGGGCA